rnacentral:rRNA from 1 species
UACGUAGGGUGCGAGCGUUAAUCGGAAUUACUGGGCGUAAAGCGCACGCAGGCGGUUCGCCAAGUUUGGAGUGACAGUUGUCGGCUCAACCGACAAAGGACUUCAAAAACUGGUGAACUUGAGGACGAGAGAGGAACAUGGAACUCCAGGUGUAGUAGUGAAAUGCGUAGAUAUCAGGAGGAACACCUGUGGCGAAAGCGGCGCACUGGACCACAACUGACGCUGAGGCGCGAAAGCUAGGGGAGCAAACAGG